AGGAGUUCGAGACUAACCUGACUAACAUAGUGAAACCUUGUCUCUACUAAAAAUACAAAAAUUAGCCAGAUGUGGUGGUAUGCACCUGUAACCCCAGCUACUCGGGAGGCUGAGGCAGGACAAUCGCUUGAACCCGGGAAGUGGAGGUUGCAGUGAGCCAAGAUUGCACCACUACACUCCAGCCUAGGUGACAGAGUGAGACUUCAUCUCAAAAAACAAAAACAAAGCAAAAAAAACACUUCACAUUAUAAAAGAAAUGGUAUAGUUUGGAAUAGAGGAAAGAAAUCACUUAUAAUCUUACCAUCCUUACCACAGUCCUAUUAAUAUAUUUUGUGUAGUUUUUUUUUUUUUUUUUUUUUUUUUUUUUUUUUGAGAUGGAGUCUUGCACUGUCGCCUGGGCUGGAAUGCAAUGGCGCCACCUUGGCUCACUGAAAUCUCCACCUCCUGGCUUCACACGAUUCUCCUGCCUCAGCCUCCCAAGUAGCUGGGAUUACAGGCACACACCACCACGCCUGGCUAAUUUUUUUUGUGUUUUUAGCAGAGAUGGAGUUUCACUAUGUUGGCCAGGCUGUUCUCGAACUCCUGACGUCAUGAUCUGCCUGUCUCGGCUUCCCAAAGUGCUAGAAUUACAGGCAUGAGCCACUGUGCCCAACCUAUUUUGUGUAUUUUCUUUUAAUGUUCAGUGAAUUUUUUUUUUUUUUUUGAGAUGGAGUCUUGCUGUGUCGCCCAGGGUGGAGUGCAGUGGCACGGUCUCAGCUCACUGCAACCUCCGCCCCCUGGGUUCAUGCCAUCCUCCUGCCUCAGCCUCCCGAGUAGCUGGGACUACAGGCGCCUGCCUCCAUGCCCGGCAAAUUUUUUGUAUUUUUAGUAGAGAUGGGAUUUCACCGUGUUAGCCAGGAUGUUGUCUAUCACCUGACCUCGUGAUCCACCUGCCUCGGCCUCCCAAAGUGCUGGGAUUACAGGCGUCAGCCACCGCGCCCGGCCCAGUGAAUUAUUUUUUUAACUUGGUUAAAAUCUUUGUAAGUAGUGUAUUAGUUACCACAUUGUUAUGCAGUUAGACAUUUUUUUUUUUUUGAGACAGAGUCUUGCUCUGUUGCCUAUGUUGGAGUGCAGUGGCAUGAUCUCGGCUCACUGCAAGCUCUGCCUCCUGGGUUCACACCAUUCUCCUGCCUCAGCCUCCCAAGUAGCUGGGACUACAGGCGCCUGCCACCACGCCCAGCUAAUUUUUUGUAUUUUUAGUAGAAACGGGGUUUCACCAUGUCGGUCAGGAUGAUCUCGAUCUCCUGACCUCCCUAUCCGCCCGCCUCAGCCUCCCAAAGUGCUGGGAUUACAGGCGUGAGCCACCAUGCCCGGACAGACUUUUCUUUUUUUGAGAUGAGAUCUUACUCUGUCACCCAGGCUGGAGUUCUGUGGUGUGACCUCAGCUCACUGUAGCCUUGACCUCCUGGGCUGAUGUGAUCCUCCCACCUCAGCCUCCCCAAUAGCUGGACUACAGGCUCCCGCCAUCUCGUCCAGCUAAUUUUUUGUAUUUUUAAGUAGAGAUGGGGUUUCACCAUGUUGUCUAGGCUGGUCUUGAACUCCUAACCUCAAGUGAUCCACCUGCCUCGGCCUCCCAAAGUGCUGGGAUUACAAGUGAGAGCCAUUGCAGCCGGUCAGACUUUUAUAAAAGUUUUAUGGUUAUAAAUGGUUAUAUAAAAUAUCUUUGUACAUAUAUUUUCAUAUCUUGAAGUUAAAGUAUAUAAAUGAUAUAAAAGACACAAAGGUAACUUAUAAAUGCUAUAUCUUAUAUUAUUUGCUUUGGCUCUCUAGAAGUGAAGUAAUUAAAUCAGAUGUUUUUUUGAUUCUUAUUGCUUAAUUACUGUCCAAAAGAAUAGGAUUAUAGUGUCAUCGAAAUUAUAUAAACAUGAAUUUUCACUUUUUUUUUUUUUUUUUUUGACAGAGUCUCUCUCUGUCACCCAGGCUGGAGUGCAGUGGCGUGAUCUCAGCUCACUGCAACCCCCGCCUCCCAGGUUCAAGUGAUUCUCGUGGCUCAGCCUCCUGAGUAGCUGGGAUUACAGGUGUCUGCCACCAGGCCUGGCUAAAUUUUUUGUUUUUGUUUUUCAGACGGAGUCUUGCUCUGUCACCAGGCUGGAGUGCAGUGGCAGGAUCUCAGCUCACUGCAACCUCCGCCUCCCAAAUUCAAGUGAUUCUUCUGCCUCAGCCUCCCGAGUAGCUGGGACUACAGGCAUGUGCCACCACGCCCAGCUAAUUUUUGUAUUUUUUUUAGAGAUGGGGUUUCACCAUGUUGGCCAGGAUGGUCUUGAUCUCUUGACCUUGUGAUCCGUCUGCCUUGGCUUCCCAGAGUGUUGGGAUUACAGGUAUGAGCCACUGUGCCAGCCCUAAUUUUUGUGUUUUUAGUAGUGACGGGGUUUCGCCACGUUCUCCAGGCUGGUUUUGAACUUCUGACCUUAUGUCAUCCGCCUGCCUUGGCCUCCCAGAGUUCUGGAAAUACAGGCAUGAGCCAUCACACCUGGCCUAUUUUUUAAAAUUAAAACCUUUUUUUAAAUUUCUUUUUUUCUUUCUUUUUUUGGUUCUAGCAGCAAUGGGAUGUUUGUGAUUUUGUUCCUUUUAUCCCUUCAUCAUGUAGUUUUUGAGUUAUUGCGCCUGGAGUCUGUGCCUGAUGUUAGGGGUAGCUACAGCCAUGAAAUGGGGCUUAUAAUCUAGCAGAGGAGUUAACUUAAUUGCAUAAAUAGCUAAUUGUUAUUGUAAUAUAUCCCAAGAAGGAAAGCAUAGGUAAAUGACCAUAUGGCACCUAACCUCGUCUGGAGAUUCAGAGACAUUGUCUUUGAUGAAGUGACUUUAAGCAAGGACCUGCGGGAUACAUAGAAGUUAUCCAGCUGCAAAAGAAGAUGUGAACUUUGUCCCCAUAAGGAUGGAGCUUUAAAAAGAACAGAUAAUGGGGUUUUCUUUUUUUUGAAGCUUCGCUCAUUCGCCCAGGCUGGAGUGCAGUGGUGCAGUCUCCCCUUACUGUAACCUCCACCUUCCGGG